rnacentral:rRNA from 1 species
UGGGGAAUAUUGGACAAUGGGCGCAAACCUGAUCCAGCCAUGCCGCGUGAGUGAUGAAGGCCCUAGGGUUGUAAAGCUCUUUCACCGGUGAAGAUAAUGACGGUAACCGGAGAAGAAGCCCCGGCUAACUUCGUGCCAGCAGCCGCGGUAAUACGAAGGGGGCUAGCGUUGUUCGGAUUUACUGGGCGUAAAGCGCACGUAGGCGGACUUUUAAGUCAGGGGUGAAAUCCCGGGGCUCAACCCCGGAACUGCCUUUGAUACUGGAAGUCUUGAGUAUGGUAGAGGUGAGUGGAAUUCCGAGUGUAGAGGUGAAAUUCGUAGAUAUUCGGAGGAACACCAGUGGCGAAGGCGGCUCACUGGACCAUUACUGACGCUGAGGUGCGAAAGCGUGGGGAGCAAACAGG